UAUGGCUGUUCGCCAUUUAAAGUGGUACGCGAGCUGGGUUUAGAACGUCGUGAGACAGUUCGGUCCCUAUCUGCCGUGGGCGCUGGAGAACUGAGGGGGCGUGCUCCUAGUACGAGAGGACCGGAGUGGACGCAUCACUGGUGUUCGGGUUGUCAUGCCAAUGGCGACUGUCCCGGUACGCUAAAUAGCGGAAGAGAUAAGUGCUGAAAGCAUCUAAGCACGAAACUUGCCCCGAGAUGAGUUCUCCCUGAGACUUUAGGUCUCCUGAAGGAACGUUGAAGACGACGACGUUGAUAGGCCGGGUGUGUAAGCGCAGCGAUGCGUUGAGCUAACCGGUACUAAUGAACCGUGAGGCUUAACCUUAC
rnacentral:rRNA from 1 species